GUUAGCUCAAUUGGUUAAAGCAUGGUGCUGAUAAUGCCAAGGUCACUGGUUUGAUCCCAAUAUGGACCA